rnacentral:rRNA from 1 species
UACGUAGGGGGCUAGCGUUGUCCGGAAUCAUUGGGCGUAAAGCGCGCGUAGGCGGCCCGGUAAGUCCGCUCUGAAAGUCCAGGGCUCAACCCUGGAAAGCGGGUGGAUACUGCCGGGCUAGAAUCCGGAAGAGGCGAGUGGAAUUCCUGGUGUAGCGGUGGAAUGCGCAGAUAUCGGGAGGAACACCGGUGGCGAAGGCGGUUCUCUGGGCCUGACCUGACGCUGAGGAGCGAAAGCGUGGGGAGCGAACAGG